rnacentral:lncRNA from 1 species
GAACUUAUUUAGAAUCACUACGAAUUUUUAAAAAAUUUCAAAAUUCAUACUAUAUACCGUUGCCAACCGUAAUUUACUCAUUUCAUCAAUACUUUUACAACCUAAAUGACUCUCAUUAAACAUCCUAGGUACAUGCCAUUAUCAAUACUCAACAUACUUUACCUCAUUGAAUUCUGGAUCGGCCUGGGAUGCUGAUUCAACAGUCUAGCCUUAACUUAUCCUGCGCACGAAAACAAACCGUACGCUGAGUAUACACUCAGUGGUAUUUCUAUAAUCCAAACACUUAAACAAUUAUAAAACUUAUUAAUUUAUAUAUAUUGAACUAUUCAAACUCAAUGAGUAUUCAAACAUUCACUUUCCAACCAUUGUUUUGGUCUACUUUAAAUUUCAAAUCAUUUAUUAAAUUCAAUAGCAAUUAAUCAAUCAGUAAUGUUCAUUAACAAUCAGAACAAUUAUUUAUUCAGUAAUAGUCAGUUAUUCGGUAACAAUCAAUUAUUCAAUAAUAAUCAGUUGUUCAGUAUCAAUCAACUGAUCGGUUAUCCAGUAACAGUCAAUUAUUCAGUAAAAAUCAGAUUUACAGUAACAAUUAAAUUAUUUAGUAACAGUCGAUCUUUCCAGUUCCUCUAUUUACCCCUAUUAACAUGACUCGGACCUAGACGGAUACAAGGAUCCAACCAACACACCAGUACGGCACAUAGUGCCUCAUCGGCCGAAACCAGAACAAUAACAGUAACAGUAGCAGUACGGUACAUAGAGUACCUCAUCGGAACAAAUCCGAAACAGUAACAGUAACAUUACGGUACACAGAGUACCUCAUCGGAACAAAUUCGAAACAGUAACAGUAACAGUAACGGUAACAGUAACAAUAUCCGACACACAAAAUGUUGAAUCGGUAAUAGUAACGGUAACAGUAACAGUAGUCGGCACAUAAGUACCUGAUCAGUAAGCCGGCAAAACCCGUAUUCUUCCAUAUCCUAUGGCAUGCCAACUAUAUCCGACUAGUUCGACUAGUUAAUAGGGUAUUUAAUUCAUUUUCAGUUUUCAAUUAAUUCAUAUUUUAAUUAAUUAACUAUAUAUUUUCAAUUCAAUAUAAUUCCAUUCACUUUUCACUAAUAAAUAUUCAAUUCCAUAAUAAUCAAAAUUUUCUAUCAAUUUUAUCACACUUCCAACUACAUAUAUUUUCCAAUAUAACAAAUAUUUAUUAUUCAAUUUUCACAUCAAUAUUCAUUUCAAUUCAAACAUUUAUAUAUAUUCAUAAAUCAAUUCAAUAUAAAUUUAUCACACACUAAAUUAAUCCAUUUCCAUUAUAAACACGAUAAUUCUCACUUCAACAUUUAUUAAUUGCAUUAAUAAAAAAAUUAUAACAAUUAAUAACUAGGUUCAGAUUAUAAAAAUACAAACCGUAGUUUUUGAGCUAACUUCUGUUGACUUUGUCUUGUCCUUUCUUAACCGAGAUUUCCGGUACCACAUUGACUACGAAAUUAAUACAAUUCAUAAUCAUUAAUGCAUUACUAAUUUAUAUCUUGAGUUACAUAAUUAUAAAUUAAGAUUCGCUAAUUUUUCCUGAAACUAGACUCAGAAAUCUUCUUACCAUAAAAUUUUCAGAAUUUUUAGUUUAGCCAUUAAGUACAGUUUAUUCUUUAAAUUCACCCCUAUUCUGCUGUCUGACAGUUUCGACCAUUCUUCACUAAAAAAUAAUUAUAUAAUAGUACAGAACUCGGAUAAUAUUCCUGUUGAUUUAUCCUGAAAAUAGACUCAUUAGGGAUUCUAAACAUAUAACUUUAAGCCUCUAAUUAUUUUUCUCCAAUUUUUGGUGAUUUUCCAAAGUCAGAACAGGGGAACCCAAAUUCAUUCUGAACUUGUCUCACUAAAUUCAUUAUAUCUCACAAUUUACAACUUAAUUGCUUACACCGUUUCUUCUAUAAGAAACUAGACUCAAUAAGCUUUAAUUCCAUGUUUUAUUCAUCCUCUAAUUCAAUUUCUACAAUUUUUGGUGAUUUUUCAAACUUAGACUACUGCUGCUGUCCAAAAUAGUCUUAGUGCAAAAUGUUGAUUUUCUACUUUUAAUUUCAAUUUAAUCCUAACUAAAUUCACUUACUUUUCUAUCUUAAUUCAUACUUUAUUUCUACUCAAUUUUUAACUAAACUCAUACUUAACUAUUAAAUUUCCAGCAUAUUUUCCUAAUUUCUAAAUUUCAUCAAUUUAGUCCCUACAACAUAAAACUUAUGAAUUACUUUACAAUUCAAUCUUUAUUUCAUUUCUAACUUGAAUUCCUAUCAAUCUAACCCAUAAUUCAUCUUUUUAUUCAACAUGAACAAUAUUUAAAAAUCUAAUAACUUUCAAAAUAUUCACUUAAUUUCAUCAAAACCUUGUCUCAAAGCUUCCAAAACAUCAAAAUUAAGUAAAAAAGGCUAAAUUGACUUACCUAUUUAACUUUCAAGCCUUGAAAUCCCAAUUUUUCCCUUUUUCCUUCUUUCUUUUUUCUUUCCUUCUUUUUUUCCCCUGCUCUCUGUUUCGUUUCAUCCUUUCUUUCUUUUUCUAUUCUUUUUCUUUUU